rnacentral:rRNA from 1 species
GACGUAGGGCGCGAGCGUUGUCCGGAUUUAUUGGGCGUAAAGCGCUCGUAGGCGGCUUGUUGCGUCGGCUGUGAAAACCCGCGGCUUAACUGUGGGCUUGCAGCUGAUACGGGCAGGCUAGAGUUCGGUAGGGGAGACUGGAAUUCCUGGUGUAGCGGUGAAAUGCGCAGAUAUCAGGAGGAACACCGGUGGCGAAGGCGGGUCUCUGGGCCGAUACUGACGCUGAGGAGCGAAAGCGUGGGGAGCGAACAGG